UACGUAGGGGGCAAGCGUUGUCCGGAAUCAUUGGGCGUAAAGAGCGUGUAGGCGGCCUUAUAAGUCGGCUGUGAAAGUCAAGGGCUCAACCCUUGAAUGCCGGCCGAUACUGUGAGGCUAGAGUCCGGAAGAGGCGAGUGGAAUUCCUGGUGUAGCGGUGAAAUGCGCAGAUAUCAGGAGGAACACCGAUGGCGAAGGCAGCUCGCUGGGACGUUACUGACGCUGGAGACGCGAAAGCGUGGGAGCAAACAGG
rnacentral:rRNA from 1 species